UUUCCACAAUGCAUAUUGGAAUUUUUGUUUUGUGUAUACUUGGAUUUGUAAUUGGAUCACUUAUCUUAGGCUACCUAUCUUUUACAUGUUUUAAAAAUAAUGAUGACAGCAGAAGAGCCCUAGCUAUACAGUGUGCACAUGUCCUUUCUCCUAAUAUUACUAUGUCUAUUGUCUUCAUCCUUUGGGGUUUUACUGAGGGGUUUUUUACUGAAGCAGCAACUUGUUCAGCACUUAAUUUUGUUAGGAUCCUUUUCCUACUUUGGAUUGCUCUCCAUUUGAAAACAUUUCAAGAUUUUCUCCACCAAUUAAUUAACCGCUUGGCAAUUCUACUACAAUUUGUUGUGAUAACUCUUGUUGCUUAUUUACUGCAAGAUUACUGAUAUCAUCAACGAGUGCUGUACAUUUUCACUGAAAGUGAAAGGAGUCUUACACUUUUACUGAU